rnacentral:rRNA from 1 species
CCUACGGGGGGCAGCAGUGAGGAAUAUUGGUCAAUGGACGAGAGUCUGAACCAGCCAAGUAGCGUGAAGGAUGACUGCCCUACGGGUUGUAAACUUCUUUUAUAAAGGAAUAAAGUGAGUCACGUGUGCCUUAUUGCAUGUACCUUAUGAAUAAGGAUCGGCUAACUCCGUGCCAGCAGCCGCGGUAAUACGGAGGAUCCGAGCGUUAUCCGGAUUUAUUGGGUUUAAAGGGAGCGGAGAUGGGUUGUUAAGUCAGUUGUGAAAGUUUGCGGCUCAACCGUAAAAUUGCAGUUGAUACUGGCAGUCUUGAGUGCAGUUGAGGUAGGCGGAAUUCGUGGUGUAGCGGUGAAAUGCUUAGAUAUCACGAAGAACUCCGAUUGCGAAGGCAGUUCACUGGACUGCAACUGACGCUGAGGCUCGAAAGUGUGGGUAUCGAACAGGAUUAGAGACCCGGGUAGUC